rnacentral:rRNA from 1 species
GGCUCGGAACGAACGCUGGCGGCGUGCUUAACACAUGCAAGUCGAACGCGAAAGGGACUUCGGUCCUGAGUAAAGUGGCGCACGGGUGAGUAACGCGUAGAUAACCUGUCUUCAUGUCUGGAAUAAUACGCCGAAAGGGGUACUAAUACCGGAUAUUCUUGCUUUUCAUAAGUUAUGCAAGCAAAGGUGGCCUCUGCAUAUGCUACUGCAUGAAGAGGGGUCUGCGUACCAUUAGCUAGUAGGUGGGGUAAUGGCCUACCUAGGCGACGAUGGUUAGCGGGUCUGAGAGGAUGAUCCGCCACACUGGCACUGGAACACGGGCCAGACUCCUACGGGAGGCAGCAGUGAGGAAUAUUGCGCAAUGGGGGAAACCCUGACGCAGCGACGCCGCGUGAGUGAAGGAAGGCCUUCGGGUCGUAAAGCUCUGUCAAGAGGAAAGAAGUGUACAAUGGCUAAUACCUGUUGUAUUUGACGGUACCUCUAAAGGAAGCACCGGCUAACUCCGUGCCAGCCGCAGC